rnacentral:rRNA from 1 species
GGAUUAUUGGGCGUAAAGCGCGCGCAGGUGGUUUCUUAAGUCUGAUGUGAAAGCCCACGCCUCAACCGUGGAGGGUCAUUGGAAACUGGGAGACUUGAGUGCCGAAGAGGAAAGUGGAAUUCCAUGUGUAGCGGUGAAAUGCGUAGAGAUAUGGAGGAACACCAGUGGCGAAGGCGACUUUCUGGUCUGUCACUGACACUGAGGCGCGAAAGCGUGGGGAGCAGACAGGAUUAUAUACCCU